GACAGAAGGUGCAAGCGUUACUCGGAAUUACUGGGCGUAAAGCGUCUGUAGGCGUUUUCCCACGUCUGGCGUGAAAUCGCGGGGCUCAACCCCGCGUCCACAUCGGAAACGAGGAGAAUCGAGUCAUUCAGAGGCAUCUGGAAUGUCGUGUGUAGGGGUAAAAUCCGUAGAUACACGAUGGAACGCCAAAAGUGAAGACAGGAUGCUAGGAAUGUACUGACGCUCAGAGACGAAAGCGUGGGGAGCAAAGGGG
rnacentral:rRNA from 1 species